UACGGGGGGAGCAAGCGUUGUUCGGAUUUACUGGGCGUAAAGGGCGCGUAGGCGGCCAGCACAAGUCAGUUGUGAAAUCUCCGGGCUUAACCUGGGAACUGCGUUUGAAACUACGGAGCUAGAGUGCGGCAGAGGGGGGUGGAAUUCCACGUGUAGCAGUGAAAUGCGUAGAUAUGUGGAGGAACACCGAUGGCGAAGGCAGCCCCCUGGGCCGACACUGACGCUCAGGCACGAAAGCGUGGGGAGCAAACAGG
rnacentral:rRNA from 1 species